GUAAUGUUCUAUCAUAUUGUCUGUCACAUGGAAUUGUACUGGUCUACCUCCUUGUCUUUGCCCCACUAGCCCAUGGAGGCAACAAAGGCAUAUGCGACCUCUGCCUGCACAUAGGUGAUGUCCCACAAAUUUCUAAUGACUGAAUGAAAGGUCUACUAUUACUUUUUGUUUAAUAACUAUGUGAUAGUAAUGAUUAACUCAAGACGAGGGGCCAUGAGCAGUAUCCUGACCCCCACGUUUUCCCGAGGCCAGGGCCAGGAUAAGUGCUACAAGGCUGCCAUUAGAUGCAGAGUCUGGUGCCUGAGAUUAGGCUGGGGGCCAAGGCAGUGUGGAAGUUGGAGCAUCAUGGGCCCAGACUUGGGUAAGUCUAACACCUUAGCUAAGGUGUUACUUACUUAGGUAAGUCCUAACACCAGCUCUACUGCCUGGCUCUGCUUACUCUAUGCCUGCAGGUGAAGAAACAGAAGCAUGGAGAUUGAGUGACUUGACCAGUCAGAGUUAGAGAAGAGAUUGGAAUUCAGACCCAGGUCUCCCAUAGUCACCUGCCAGAAAUCAUUCUUCAUUCCAUGGAAAAUGGAGAAUUGGUGAUUUGCAAUUCUGUUAAGAACGAUUGGGAAAUCACGCACUUCCAAAGUCAUUGGAAGCCUCUGAAUUACCAUCCUUAAGGAAUAAAUCUUGUCCAAAUAAA
rnacentral:lncRNA from 1 species